rnacentral:rRNA from 1 species
AUACGUAGGGGGCGAGCGUUGUCCGGAAUGAUUGGGCGUAAAGGGCGCGUAGGCGGCGCGGUAAGUCUGGAGUGAAAGUCCUGCUUUCAAGGUGGGAAUUGCUUUGGAUACUGCCGCGCUUGAGUGCAGGAGAGGUUAUCGGAAUUCCCGGUGUAGCGGUGAAAUGCGUAGAGAUCGGGAGGAACACCAGUGGCGAAGGCGGGUAACUGGACUGCAACUGACGCUGAGGCGCGAAAGUGUGGGGAGCAAACAGGAUUAGAUACCCUGGUAGUCCACACUGUAAACGAUGAAUGCUAGGUGUAAGAGGUAUCGACCCCUUUUGUGCCGGAGUCAACACAAUAAGCAUUCCGCCUGGGGAGUACGGCCGCAAGGUUGAAACUCAAAGGAAUGGACGGGG